rfam:Asian citrus Psyllid, Diaphorina citri - Florida Strain, whole genome shotgun sequence.
GCCUAGUUAGCUUAGUUGGUAGUGCGUCUGCCUUGUAAGCGCUAGGCCGCGGGUUCCAUUCCCGCCCGGGGCG